GACGAACGCUGACGGCGUGCUUAACACAUGCAAGUCGAGCGAUGAAGCACCUUCGGGUGUGAAUUAGCGGCGAACGGGUGAGGAACACGUGAGAAAUCUGCCUUCAACACUGGGAUAACUCCGGGAAACCGGGGCUAAUACCGGAUAUGAAACCUGCGGGCAUCCGCGGGUUUGGAAAGUUUUUCGGUUGAAGAUGAUCUCGCGGCCUAUCAGCUUGUUGGUGAGGUAAUGGCUCACCAAGGCGACGACGGGUAGCCGGCCUGAGAGGGCGACCGGCCACACUGGGACUGAGACACGGCCCAGACUCCUACGGGAGGCAGCAGUGGGGAAUAUUGGGCAAUGGAGGAAACUCUGACCCAGCGACGCCGCGUGCGGGAUGAAGGCCUUCGGGUUGUAAACCGCUUUCAGCAGGGAAGAAGCGAAAGUGACGGUACCUGCAGAAGAAGCACCGGCUAACUAUGUGCCAGCAGCCGCAGUAA
rnacentral:rRNA from 1 species